UUACAUACUAGCCAAAUGGUAUAGGCGCUUGACUUAAGAUCAGGAUGAUGCAGGUUCAAUUCCUGCGUAUGAAACCA
rnacentral:tRNA from 2 species